rnacentral:misc_RNA from 1 species
AACAAGGCGUACCUGCGGACCUGCGGAGGGAUCAUUACAAGUGACCCCGGUUUACCACCGGGAUGUUCAUAACCCUUUGUUGUCCGACUCUGUUGCCUCCGGGGCGACCCUGCCUUCGGGCGGGGGCUCCGGGUGGACACUUCAAACCCUUGCGUAACUUUGCAGUCUGAGUAAACUUAAUUAAUAAAUUAAAACUUUUAACAACGGAUCU